UUCUUGUACCACAGGGUUCUUACACUUGGGGCAUCCUCAGCUUCAGAAGCACAAACAAAAACCAAAAAGCCCGCGAAGGCAAUCUCACCAAGAGGCCUGGCUUUCCAAAUCUUCAAAGAUUCCUCUCCAGCCAAUGAAAAUUAUGCAUAAACAAAAUCAACUUUGCAGACCGAUCAAACUUCCUGCCAGGCCAGAACACAGAGCCAGGGCCUGCUCACCUGGGUGGGCUCUGCAUGCAGAGGGGUGAAGCCCCCACCAGAACUCCACCUCAGUGCCUGAGGACCCUCAAGUAGGGGAAGAACUUCCCCUGGAGGUGGCUGGCAAAACACUACCUCAGAAAUGCAAACACUGCUUUCAAAAUCUCAGAGCAGCCCAGAAGGACGGUUGUUGCCACUUUUUCAGAUGUGCAAACUGAGGCUUGGAGAGGACCAGAGAGCACAGGGCUGAAGCCGCAGCCGUGAGGGCAGAAUGGGCAUUGGACGGAAGUGAGCGGACUUUGAGGCCUGCGCCUUCAUUUCUCCACUUCCCAGGUGUACAGAUUACUUCAGUGAACACACAGGGUCACAAAACAGGAUAGAGAAUAAAACAGAG
rnacentral:lncRNA from 1 species